GACGAACGCUGGCGGCGUGCUUAACACAUGCAAGUCGAACGGAGAGGCCCUGCUUUUGUGGGGUGGUGGAGGGGCGAACGGGGGAGUAACACGUGAGUAACCUGCCCUCGUGGGAGGGUGAACUUCAGGCAACUGGGGCUAAUACCGGAUAGGAGCUCCUGCUGCAUGGUGGGGGCGGGAAAGUUUCGGCGGUUGGGGAUGGACUCGCGGCGUAUCAGCUUGUUGGUGGGGUAGUGGCUUACCAAGGCUUUGACGCGUAGCCGGGCUGAGAGGGUGACCGGCCCAGCUAGGACGGAGAUGCGGCCCAGCCUCCACCGGGAGGCAGCAGUGGGGAAUGUUACACAAUGCGCGGAAGCCUGAUGCAGCAACGCCGCGCGCGGGAUGACGGCCAUCGGUUUGUAAACCGCAGUCGCCUGUGACGAAGCGUUAGUGACGGUAACAGGUAAAGAAGCACCGGCUAACUACGUG
rnacentral:rRNA from 1 species